AUGAAGAAACAAGGUGGAAAAAGCAACUGGCAGAUCAAUUUAGAUGAGAAUAGAAGGGGAGGGGAGAGAGUUAAUAAGCAGAUGUGUGGCAAAUGCAAAGAUCCAAGACACUCCACCAGGGAGUGUAGAGUGGGGCACUGUCUGGUUUGUGGUAGGGAGAAUCACAUCACCAGUGAAUGCAACUUGCUGAAACAAAUAAAACCAGUCCCGAAAUAUGUUGGAUAUGCUGCUAAAGGGCUGGGGAUCCUUUUGGUUCAAAGCUAUAAAGAUAUGCUUGUUGCUGAACACACCAAUCCCCUGGGUGUGGUGAUUGUUAGAGAGGGAAAAAUUAAUGAAACUGAGCUUACUAAGGCCUUGGGAGAGAUGUUUGAUUGGGGGUGGCAGUGGAGAGUUAAGGAAUUUGGACAUACUGGUUUCAUGAUGAGAUUCCCCAAUAAGGCUAAACUGGUAGAGCUGGCUAAAUUUAAUGACUUCAAUCUGCUUGGUACUGGGGUGGUCAUCAAGGUCCAGCCAUGGUCCUUGGAUCAUCAAGUUGUGGGGAAAAUGCAUGCUGUCUGGGUAAGGAUAAGUAAGGUGCCUGACUGCUUCAGACAUUUUUUGGGUAUAUGUGAAGUCUCUGCUGCAGUGGGCCCUGUGCUGGAAGUGGACAUGGACAUAGUCAAUGAAGAAAAAGUGAGGGUCAAAUGUGGGAUUAGAGAUGUGGAGAAAAUCCCACCCCAUGUUGAAAUCACUGCCCCUGAUCUGCUCAUGUUCAGGGUUGGAGUGGAAUUGGAGAUGGUGGUAGAAGUUGGCUGGUAUAAGGAGGAUAAGAGGAAGAAUGAAAGUUUACAUAAUCUAGAAGAGGGAGAAGGAGAGGCAGAAAACAGGAAGAGAACCAGGGUAGAGGACAAUGAUCACAGGGGCAUUUCACUGUGA
rnacentral:rRNA from 1 species